rnacentral:misc_RNA from 1 species
AGGAAAAACAUCUGCCACACGUACAAGAGAAAUGAAAGAAAUUGGAAAAAGAAAAAGCUUUUAUAUGAAAUUCAGCAGCUGGUAACUAAAAUGAACUUCUGGAUGUAAUAUAUAGUUGGGAUUAUGCAUAAUUUACUUACUUUAAGAUUUAAAAGAGACGUUUGGCAAGCUUCAUUAGCUUGUUAGAUGAUUUUAAAGACAAAUUUAGAAUUUUGAAAGAAAUUUAGGUACAAACUUUGUAGAUCGUCCAGUUUUACUGAAUAUCUUUCAAUAUGACUAUCCAAAAGAAAUUUUAGUCAUUUUAUCUUAAAAAAUAAAUAAAAUUUAACACUGAAAAAUGAAUGGUGGAGUGAUCCCAGUACGUCUUGCAAAAGAAUUAGGUUAACUUUCUAAGAAAUCAGGAAGCUUUCUAUGCUUUGAUUUGGAGAAAUAUGCCUGCAGACAGAACAAACGAAUAUCCCUUCAAGACGUAUACGGAAGAAGAAAUUAAUGAUGUGAUAGUUUAAGCAGCUUGUUAGAAUCGCGCAUGCACGUGCUUGGUGAUCUUUGAAGCUAUCACCUCAAUUUGCAAUUAUUUUUACUGAUUCUCUCUUCUCUCUACUGGUUUGCGGUCAUUUUCUUCAUGAAAACUCAUCAUCGGAAACUCAUUCGUCACUCUUUCCGAUUGGAUAUCCGCCAUUUUAGAAUGGUUCAUGGCUUCGCACCGGAUGGAUGUUGGGAUCACAGGUGGGCGUCACGUGACGAUUGUUGUGUAGAAUAGGAAAGUGGGUCACGUGCGGCACCCGGAACGUCGAUUAAUCCACAAACAAAAAGAGAGAGGAGGAAGAAUAGCUAGUGUUUAUUUCUAGCGAUCUUGGAGGAAAGUGCACUUUUCCUCUUCCGUCUAUUUUAGGAGCUCUUGAUAGAAUAUUGCGGACAUUUAAGUGGCCGAAUUGGCAAAAACUGAUUAUUUUACAUCCUCGGAUAAUUCCUCGAUUCCGAUAGCUUCUUCCGACGCACGCUUUUUCGCGCUUCAUCGGAUGGUUAAGUUUUCGCCAAACUUUCGGAAACGAAUGAUUUGUGAAUGAUUCUCUGUUAAGUAGGCCACGAGAUCGAGCCAUUCUGACUUAAUUAUGCUUUGAUUGAAAAAAGACCUAAUACUUGUGCUGUUUUUGAAAGAAAUAUCAAGAAGUGAGAAAUUAUGGGACGAACUAAUUAAUAAGUACUAAAUUAUAAAAUUGAUGGGAACAUCAAAGCACUGAUUCUUGAUAUUCUCAGUAAACAGUGCAAAACACCUUAAACCGCUGCAGAUAUUAUUGAAUGCCUUAAUAAUCCCAUUAGUUAUAAAUAAAUAUCACUAGAAGUUAUUUACAAGAUAGCAUAGUCCACAUCAUAAUGGAUAAAGGAAUAAUUCAACAUAAUCUUGAAAGAGGGUGCCCAGAGGAUUCAUACGUUGGUCCCACUCUAUGAAAUUUAGUUGCCAACACACCUUUCCUGUAUUUUAACAACUUGGAACACGUAAACUUGCAAGCAUUUGCUGGUGGUUUUCUGCUGGUGGUAGCUGGAAGAAAAGCCAUUGAAACAAGAACACAGGAUUAAAUUGACAUUUUUGCAAAAUGGGUAAAAGAACAUAAACUUCAAAUUUUCCUAGCCAAGAGAAAAAUCUAGCCAAUUGAUAGAAAGGGAAUUCUGAGAAAGAAACUAUCAGUACAACACUGUGAUACUCCUAUUAAAUGCUUCGCAGACCUCAAAUACUUAGGUUAUUAUAAGUCAACAGUUUAAUAAAUUGUAUGAAAUCAACAUGCGAGGUUUACAUUUUUGUCAAAGGGGAGCAUUCGUUAAAGAAAGUUUUGUUGCAAUCAGGAAAGAUACUUUUCCAAUCAUUUUAAAAUUUUGAUAAAAGUUGACUUUGGAUUCAAUAUUUUGAAAUUAAUCAAUUAUCAAGCACUGUGAUUUAAAUUAAAUAAUACUAUUGUACAAAAUAUUUUUAAUUAUUUUUCGAUCAGUUAAGAUUUAUUUAGUUGAAAUUCUUUAAUUCUGACGAGCAGUGUAUUUUUGAAUUGUCAUAAUGAAUUAACUAGUUUUGAAUUUCUAUAUUGGAGUAAUUGAUUUUAAAUAUAUUAUUAUAUUAUAUAUUAUUAUAUUAUUUGCAUCUUAGCAUGUUUAUGAUUGUAUUUAAGUCUCUUUUAUAUUAGUUUAUAUUGAAAUAAUUGACACUGAUUGAAAUAAAAAUACACCAAUCAUCGGUGAAUAAAACGUCUGAAAUUAAGGUUAAUGAAUAAAGAUUGUUUCUUUGAAUCUAGUUAUGGAAAUACGUUUUUAAUUAUGUUCAGAUACAUUACAACUAAUUAAAUCAAAUAUAUAAGUGUAAUUUUCAUAAAAUUAAACAAGUUCAUGUAUGAUAUCAAAUACCCGAAUCAUCAUCGAGUAUUGUUCAUAAAAUAUAUGUGUACCUUUGUUAAAUUUUGCGCUCUUUCUUAUUCAGCGACGAACACUCAACGUUUUACCAGAAAUACUAACUGUUGCCUGUUACUUUAGAAUAGGCAUUUCAAGGCCAUUUUCCCAAAACCAUGCCUCAUAACCAUGGAAGAUGGAAUCCUUUAAUUUGCUAAAAUCCCCUAAGACCUUUAUAAGGUGAUGACGACAUGUGUUACAAUUGUUAACGAAGAGAGCAACCCUAAAAUGUCUAUUUUAAAAUCACAAGUUACCUAAUAACAAGUUACCACAAACUCUAAAAAAUUACCUAAUUUAUGUUUUUUUGUAUAGCAUAAUACCAUUAUAUAAGUAUGGACUUCCAGUUUUACAUUACAAAAGUAUUAA